AACAGAGUCAAGAGUGUCACCCUGCCCCACAAGGCUCUUCCCAAUCUGGACCUCUGCCCACGAUGCUGGCGUCCUACAGACCUCUCAGUUUCACAAGUCCACCACCUCUUCCUGCUCGAGCUGCACCACUGGCCCCUUCAGCUCCUGGGAUUUCAAUGUCACCUGGAUGAAGGACAGAGAUGAGCAUCCAGACUCAACUCAGCACCUGGUGACUGACAACAAAAUCAAUUACUCCGUCACUUCCCCAGUAGGGUGUGGGGGACACUAGCCCGACACGAUGUCUCACCUGCGAAGUCACCCACAGGGGACUGGCAGAGCCCCUCCCAAGUGCUCCAAGUUCUUCCCACCCUGAAGAUCACCAGGCCCGCUGGGACACACGUCCAGGUGCAUCAGAGAGUGAAUCUCACGGGCCACAUGAGCCACUCCUGUCCCCGCUCCCUGCACCUCACCUGGGUGGAGAACAGGCACAAGGUCCAGACCGUGGAGUGUCCCCAGGUCACGAGAA